ACCAAUGCCAUUCUGAGUGUAUAUACAGAGAGAUUCAUGAAGGGAUUCAGAAUUGGCUACACAAACUGGAUGAAACCGAGAGGCACUGAGAAGCUGCACGUGGGCCCACAGCUGCAGCUGGUCAGCAGGAGGCCAGGGCUGAUGGCCAUGUGUCUGCUGGGCUCAGCCAUCCUCAAGUGGAGGCACAGAAAGAACAGGUGUAAGGAGGGAGGUUCUCUGACUGCAGCUGGCAGGAAUCCACAUGGGCCAGGAGGAAAUGUAAUGAUGUGUAUUCAAAUGAAGGGCAACUUCUUCCGCAUUCCUCCUCCUCUAGCUCUCAUCUCUGCCCUGUGAGCAGUCUGCAGGAGCUCUGCUGACCUGUCCCAGGCCUGAGGAAGAUGGUAGAGGUGUGCAGGAGCUUCACCUUCCUCUAGCAGGGAUUGCAGCAGCAUGGUGGGUUCCUGUGGGGACAGGCCUGUGACGCGCUGCAGGCUGUCCCAGCUGAGGGGAGGUCAGAGGGAUGCAGCUCCCUAGCACAUGUGACACCCUCUGAAAGGGAAGACAGUAGAUAGAGAAAGAGAAGGAAGUCGUUUUUCUCCAGAGCUACAGAAGCUUGCCAUUGAGUUCCUGCAAAGGUGAGCGAAGAACAGAAAUCCUCUACCUCCUUUUUAUGUGGUAUUCCCCUUAUCGGUAAAGCAAGCAACUAACUUGAGAGGCCACUUUUUUUCAUCAAGAAUGAGUCUUGUGGCAUUGAUCUAAAUCCUGAGUAACCAGGCUGUGUUGUGCAAUCGGAACUUUUUAUGGGUGAAACUGUGGCAGAAGAGGCUUUGUCUGUCAGCCAUGAAUUUUCAAAUGGAGAGAAGCUUGGCAGCCACAUCAGCCAGUCCCUUCAGGAUCAUGAGAUGCGUGUCAUCCUGCCCCAUAGACCUGUACAUGUUCAGCCUCUGAGACAAUCUCAGACUUGCUCUACUCCUGUAGUUGGGCGAGAUUUUGCAGAACAUCACCUGGCAGUCUGUCUCCGAAUUCAUAUGUCUCCAUCCAGCUUGCCCAGUCCUUGUGUGCCUGUUUUAAAUAAGUGUGACAGAGACUCCUGACAUCACUGGCUGGUGCCCUUGUCAGUUUGACAUCUCUCUGAAUACCUGAAGCACAAGGGAAAAUGACAGAGUUACGUACUACAAAACAAGUAUUGGUACAUGCAAGACUUGGUGCAUUAUUUUGCAAGCAUACUUUAAUUUGUUUGGACAAAGAUUAACAAAGACUUUCUAUCACUGAUCAUAUGGAUCUGGUUUUCUACUUGAUGUGAAUGUUGGAGCUUGAAGGAAGCUUUGAGAUAAUGGGCUGUGGAGGAUAGGAGAAUGAACCAGUCUCCUUCCUUGUUCUUCAGUUCAGACAAUCCUCAGUUUGGACAACUGGAGGAUGAAGAUCCUAGGACAUACUGAAAGACUAACAGCUUCAGAAACACCAGAGCAAGGCAUACCAUUUACAUUAACACUCAGGGAGGAAGAAGAUUGACCUACUUGAAGGAGAGAAGAAAGCAGCACCAGCUGAAGAAUCUGGGGACCGUCUGCCACCUCUUCUGCCAGAUGGGUGAAAGGAAGGACAACAUACUGCUGUACUGCAUGUCACUGGAUAUGAUGGCCGUGGUCUCGUGCCAGCCAGCUGAAAAAGAAGGCUUCUCGUAAGGACCUGCAGAAACAAAGGACACCAAACAGGUCACCAGGAAAGAGCAGUUAAAUCUGAUACCUAUCUGAGAGGCAUAAAAUCAUCAGCAAAAGUUUAGUUACUAACAGACAUGUGCAGGCUUCUGUUGUAUAUAUAUACUAUAUAUUUCUUUAGCUUUUACCAAUAAACGCCAGGAAGGCUUUUACUUACUUGCUUCCAAAAGAAAAAGCAAAGACAACUGCAAAACCAAUUCAUCUAUGUCCUGAAUUUGUUAUGAUUCAAUCAGCAAAAGAAAGAAAAUCCAGGGUCAGAGAUCACCCCCUCCCUGCUUCUAUCACAACGGGUUACCAUCCUUAAUUUUACCCAACUGUGUCAUAUUGUGACCAAAUAUUGGAGGCUUGAUCCUUAACUUUGAAGUUUUUCUCUUUUGUGGAACUAAGCCAGAACCACAAAAUUUUUGAAAACGCAGUGCUUGACUGAAUUGAAUGCUGUUUCCUCUGUGAAACUAAAACUAAACAGAAUGCUUCUACCCUUCCAAAGGGAUGUGUUUUAAAUUGUCUUUGACUCUCUUUCUUUGUAUUUAUAUUGGUUCUGGUUGUUUGAUUAAAACUGUAGGACACCCAAUUCAAAAGAGUAUUUCUGAAAGACAAAUAAGGAAUAUUUGAUAAUUUUUCUUCAGAUAUCUCCUGUCGUUUUGUAUAAAUGCUUUCCAGUUUUGGCUUGACAUUCUUACACACUUCAAAAAUAUCUGAAAGUUAAUUCAAGUAAUCCUUUACUUUGGCCCUGCUUUGUAGUAUUUCAAUGUGUCAGUAUUAAUUGAAUUUAAGUAUUCUCUUUAGGAAUACUUUAUAUAUAAAAUAGAGAUUUUGGAGUUCAAAAUCAAGUAUACAUAUGCACAUGUAUAAAUACGUGUAUGCAUUUAUACAUGUAGCCUUCAGCAACUAUAUAUAAAAUUGCAAUGUGUUCAACUAGCCAAAUACAAUAAACAAGUCAUUCAUUAUUUUAAAAUCCUAUUGACCUUAGCAAUAACUUUUCCUGAAAAAAGAAUGCAGACUCUAGCCGCAGCAGAACUUAGUGAAGUUUAACAAAAUAUUUUAAUAGAGCUAUGACUAAUUCAGGAGAACUUCACACAGGGAGGUUUCAGUGGCUUAUAUGGAGGAAGGGAGAUUUCAUAUCAAUAAAUAUGGUGGCAUCUGCCAGACAAAAUGUUUUAAUAAUCCUCUGGGUGUGACUUCCCUCCCACUAAUGUGUUGGACAGUUUAGAUUAACACCAUAUGCCUGUUAAUAGAAUGAGUUGGAAACCAGUGUAAAUACUGAGAGUUCAUUUUACAGCACUGUUUUCCCGGCAUUCCCAGUAUCCCCAUGCUAAGAAUCAUUGAUGGUAUGGAUAGAAUGAUGAAAGAGGAGGAAAAGCCACAGGGACAGGUGGAAGCAUGGAGCCAACAGAACCAGGAAGAGGAGGAGGGAAAAUAAAGGGAAGGAGAGAGUUAGUGGGAAAUUAUGGGGACUGAGGGACAUGUUAAGUUUUUGGUAGAAUAAGUAUGCAAGGGGUAUUGCCCUGCAUGACUGAGGAUAUGGUGGUUUUCAAAAGUGAUGGCAGUAAGCCAGAAAGGGGAAUGGUUCUUGUAGAAACGUGGUAAAGAGGACAGGUAAGAUGAAUUAUCUCUGCAUCUAGAGAUACACAGGUAAUGACAUUCACCAUCACAGGUAAUGACAUCACCUCCAGGAGGGAGAGCUGGUGUGAAAGAAGAAUCAGGCAAGAAGAAGCGCCAUGAAGCUGCCAAUGCCAAAAUUACACAGUGAUGUAGCAAGGCAGUGACGUUACAAAUUUACAUAAUCAAGUCAUGUCUUGGCUGCAAGAUUUCCAAAGGCAACUUACUCUUAUUUCGAUUGCCAGGUUCCUGAUCCCUGCUGGGCUGUUUCUGUAGUGUAAGGUAAGGAAAACACCUCAAACUGCGUGCUCCUCUUUUCUAUCCUCAGAGCAUAGAGGCUUGCCUGACAACAAAAACAGCAUCCAUAAAAAUGAUUCAUAAUCAAUAUUUCAAGAAAGAAUAAGAGACCUUCACUAUAAUACAUAAACUAAUUUGGAAUAGGUAAGAAGAAAUAAUGUUUGAUUCUAAAUUUUAAUCGGUUUUCUUUGUAUUACUCUUGUUUACAAGGUAAACUCUGCUCUUGCUCUGCAAGUCUUCAAUGACUGUAUAAAAAAUGAAGGGAAGCAUUAAAUGCUGGUCAGGCAGAGGACUCCGGGCUGGUGGUUCCUAGACAAAGAAAAUAAGUAAAAUCAUAAUCUGUAUCUCUUUGUUUAGAAGGUGCAGAGGUAAUGUUUCCAAUAAAUAUUCGUAUCCUACGGUCCUAACGAAUGACUUUGGUCCCAGUGACUGUCAGGCAUGAAACACAGUUUGUCCCCAAAACAAUGUUAUAUAUAUUUUAAAAGUGCAGAGACAUUUACACACAGAAUGCAAAAAAAGAACUGUACUUCAAUAGUAAAAAAAUUAGAGAAUAUAACAGAUCUUUUUCAAAGGAGUGGUUCCAUUUACGUCAAUGGAAUAAUUAGCUGUGAUAAGAGUUUAGAGGAUCAAGCCUGUGUAGCAACCAUCUGUGCUCCUUAGGUUUUAUCCUCAGAUAACAUUAUUCUCUUGCAACCAAAAGAAAAUGCCAUGCUGACAGGUAACCCAACCUAUUUCCAAACAGCAUGUCAAGUCACUGACUGCUUGAGUGCGACAUUUGACUGCAGUUGCUUUCACACUUUGAUUUAUUCUGCUACUCUCAUCAGUGCCCUGCUUCCCCUGUGCAAAUUCCUGCAGACACAUUAGCAUGGAGACUGUCACACUGCUUGUCUACUUGGCACAACUGAGCUCUCAGCUAUUCAGCCACCACCCUGAGAUUGACCCCAACCAAGGUGGCAGCUCUACAUGCUACCUUCUACAUUCAAAAAUGUGACAAUUCAGCCCUUAUCCACUGUUGCAGCUACCACAGCAGACACUAAAAACCUGCUGAUUGUUACUGUGAAAAUAUCUCUUUAUUAAGACAAUAUAUUGAAUCUUUGAAUAUUUAAAAGUUAUGCAAAAUAACCUUCACUACAAUAUAAUAUUACUAUUAUUAAUACAUUUUAAAAAUGAAUAAAGUCACUAACUUUCCCUAACAGAUGUUCAAAGAGACACUAAGACCAGACUACAGGGUCUGGCAUGGCCCGGUAGUCACACAAGUUAGUGUCUUUCUUAGGCAACAUUCUGAACAUACAAUAGCAGUAAACCAGUUUCACUCUAGGACUUAAAGGUGUAAGGCUAUACUUUGUUUCUGAUCAAAAUACUGCAAAGUCCCAACGUAGCUGUGCAAUUCUGUCUGGAAGAAUGUGUCAAGCUUUUUUAAAUUUUAUUUUUUUUACUUGUUUAACUUGCAAAUCAGAGAAGUCUUUUACUGACAAUCGAAGAGAAAACCCCUCCUUUUGCAUUGAGCAGAACAGAGGGAAGAUGAGAAAGCCUAUCAGCAAAUUCUGCCAAAACAUACUUGAGGUCAGCAUCUUACCAUGCGGCUUGUUACCUGUACCUGCUAAAGACAGGUUUCCUCAAGAAUUUCUGCAGAGAUUUAGAUUUAUAGACAAUGGUAUCAAAAGAAAGGGCUAAGAAAUAUGACGCCAAUGAAUGGAAAGGGGCUUUGGUCUUUCUGUAUUUGUCUUCCCAAGGCCUCAUCUCACGUCUGAUGAGGUGGGAGAGGACUUCAGAAUAAUCAGUUGAUUCUUCUCAGUCAGAGCAAGAGCUUCCUUCCCAGCUGAGUGCCCCAUGCACCUGGUUAUGGGCUGUCCUGGACUGACAGACAGGCUCUUUUCCUGUCAAGGGUGUUUUAACCUGAUCUGAAUUGCUAAAGAGUCACUGACCCAGAUAAAGAAAUGCUGCCAACCUGUUUUUGCUGGCUAAGGCACUCUCUGGCAUCCGUGAAACUGUGAUUCAAAUAUCCAUUCCACAGUGAAGUGGAGAACAUCUUAGGCACAGAAAGUGAGAGAGGCAAAGCAGCAAGGAACUGACUCCUGCCUCUCAGGAGCUUCUGCUUGAGUCAGGGUAACUUAGGAAUGUGUUAGCUGAUGGUCAGCUUUAAGGACUGAUCCAAAAGGACCACAAGAAAACAAUACAACAGUUUUUUAUUUGUGCAGGUGUACUCUGAAUCCUCAGCAGUGUCAUGUUGUCAUGAAUCUUCAUCUCCUGCAGGAGGAUUCCUGCCACUUCCCAGUCGUUCUGCUUCCUAAGAUGACUACAGAAAAAGUUCACCAAGGAGGGGAAUUGACCAACAUGAGUCUAAAGGGAAAACACACUAUCAUCCAGUGCAAGUCUGCACAGUCAACAACUCCAGCCAGCAAGUCUACCAAGUUUGGGAAGAAAUACAGUGAUUAGUUUCUGGAUUAUUUUCAGUGUUACUGUAACAUUAGCACAAUAUUUCAAUGAUCUCAAGUAGCUUCUGAUUAGCAUAAAUAAAAGGUUAUCACAGAAGAAUGUUGCUGUAAAUCUUUACAAGUCAGCAUUACAACAUUCUUCCCAUUGCCUUUUAUGGGCAGUAUGAUGCAGCAUAGGGUGUGCUGUUGAAAUGAGAUAAUUCAAAGGCUGCGUAUGUGCACUAUGACUGAGCUUGCACUACCAUGUCCCUUUAGUACUCACAAAGGAAAUAAAACACUAGGAAAUAAUAACUUUGAUUUUCAGAGCAAGAAAGGUAGCAGGAAACCAUGAAGUUUUGCUAGAAUUGGGUAAGUCGGACCUAGAGCUGUGUAAAAUUCACAGCCCUCGCUUGUCUAUGCUUUAGGAAGUGUUGUCAAUAGGAUGGUUUGCUUUGCCUGAUUUGCUACCAACAGAUUUCAGAUCUAAGUUUGCCAGAAAAUCAGAGCUAAUGCUGAAACUUAGGAAAACUUUGCCAUGUCUUUUCCCUAGCACACUGUCAUUACACAGUUAAUUUCCUGCUGUUUCUGACAACAUAGAACAGCAGAAGAGCAAAAAAGCAAAAAGACCUAGCACUAACUUAAUAUGACCUGCUGCCACAGUAUUUCCAAGGUCAUUUACCUGUGCUGGAGUGCAUUGACAAGAUUUCUCUGGUUCUGAGAAGAUGAAAGACUUGGAUGGUUGGUGGGACCUUGAAAACUGCGGAUCUAUGCCCAGCAGCUGUAAUUUCUACUUUGUAAAUGCACUCCUCUAAUCUACGCAACAGUAUGCCACAGUAAUCAUCUCAAGUUAGAUGGGAUAGAAUUACCUGUACGCUGUAACAGAAGUUGCAAUACUGUCUGUUUUACUUAAAGGGUUCUUUGUUGUAGAAACUCAUGUAAGUGUUUAAACCAGAGUGAUGCUAGAUCACAUUGUGUCUGAAUCUGGUGGAAUUACCAUGAGCUGCCCUCUCACUCCCUUGAACUAUUUUAACAGAGUUCCUUUUGGCUUCUGUGUCUAGAAAAUGUUUUCUCAAGAACUUCUGUUCUGGCCCUGCAGGUCAGGAGUGUGACUGGAGACUGUCACAAGUGAAAUAUGACGACUGGUGUGAUGUAGUGUUCUGAUGUGUCAGGUUAUGUGUGAACCAUUGAAUCAGCAGGACCAUGAGAAAACUGUUUGGUAUUUCAAAAUCAUGCAUCUUUGAUGCUAACUUGAAACCUAUUUGCUUUGUUCACUGAUAAAAACAUUCAUAAUAACUCACUAGAUGCCAAGGAGAUCAUUCGUCAUUAUAUGCCUGGUAACAGGAUUGAAAGCCUCAUAGAGCAGCAUUUUAAAGAACAAAUAGCACCUUUUGCAAAUAAACUUAGGCAAUCUUAAGUGUCAAUAGAAGAGGGUAAACCUUUGGAAACAGGUAGUAAUACAUCAUCUUUUUAGGUGCAGCCUGUGUAGAGGUUUAUCUUUCAUCCCCAUGACAGGCCUUUCAGCCUCUCAGUACAGCAACAGCUGCCAUGGGGCAAGGUGACAAUACAUAUAACCAUCUUCAGUUCUCGCCUUCAGCUGCACAGUGACAUUUGGAUGAACAAUGUAUGCAGCAAGCUCUAACAUUUCUUAUGAAGCGAAUCUAGAAGCCCGCUGCAAAAAUGCAGCAUUCAAUUCCUCAAGUCUGACCCACAAAAAUGACUGCUUCUAUUCAUAAGCUUUCCACCAACUUGACUGUAAUUAUACAUGAGAAUGACAGUAACAGGGUCAUGCCUAGGAACAUUUUCACAGCUAGCCAUAACAGACAGCAAACAACACUGUUUCACUUCAUCAGGAGUGUUCCCUUAACUUUGGGCGGGCUGAAGGACCUAUGGAUUUGUGUGCAGAUGUUUAUAAAUGCAUAGCAUGUAGAAUUUUCAUUUUAUUCCCUCUUGUUUCCUUCCUGGAAAUUCAAAGCAAAACAAGAUUUUUAGAGUGACUUCAAAAUGUGUAGGUGGGAGAUCUGUCAGUUCUUAAUUAAAGGAUGGCAAAUGCUAAAUUCUUACAAUAAACAAUUCUUUUUCUCUAAUGGUUCAACUCAAUGAGUUGUGAGACAAGACAUCAAAAGCAGACAUGUCUUUCUACCUAGGCAAGAUUGACGUACUGAAGGGACUCUUGCCUCAGUGCAAAUGAAAAUCAAACUCACACUGUGAAGUCUAGAAAUCAUUUCUUUCAGUUUAUAUCAGGAUUAACUUGCCUGAUAUCUGUAAUAUCUUAAAAAUAUCAGUUCUGCUGUAACCCACAGAGCCCUUAAAAAAAAAUUAAAAUGCUAAUUUAAAAAUGAAGGAUCUGCAUAAUCAUCUUCUACCACUGCCCCUGUUCCCCUUUUUUAACUACAAAUAAACGUGGAAAGGAUAGAUCUCUUUUUUAAUGGUUUUGUUGUUGUUCAUGACAGUUACAGCCUAGGCACCCAUACCAUGUGUCUCUGCCACGCAUGGAAAGCAAAGCAAUUACAUGUACGAUACCAUCUAUGCUUUGCAGACCACACAAACAUGCUCAUCAUGGAUGUCCUGCAGGGAAACCACAAACACUGGAAAUACUUCAUAGUAGAUCAGACCUGUGGAAAACCCAGUGGUCUUUCUCCAGUUACUUAGUUUUGCUUUAUAUGCUUUUCAGGCAUGCAAAGCAAUGCUGCCUGCCUGUAAGGUGCUAUUUACUCUCACUUUGGUCCAAAGAGCUCUGUACAACUUAAAAUAAAGACUAUGAACAACUGCAGGCACCAUAUAAAAAUCUGGGUUUCAUUAACUCGAAAUGUUGGGCACGUUGAUGAUAUUUCCUAAGAGGAAUCAGUGUUCCUUAAAAUAACAAGUCCGCUGACCUUAAUGGAAAUCAAGAGUAAGUAAUCUCAGAACAGUAAAGAUAAAAUGGUCAGAAUCAUUAUUCAUUUAAGUAUUUAAGAGUAGAAACAAUGUUGAGUGGGUUAUCCUAUGUGCAAAAAGCAAAGAAAAUCCGCUAUAUUCACCUGAGGGCUUGCAUUAAGCUGCAUACUUGUGGACAGGAGCUCAAUGGGAACAAAACAAAAACAUUUUCUGGUCUCCACAAUACUAAAUCUGUAAUAUCCCACUGGUUUCAUUGCAAGCAGAUAGUCUGGGGAAUGUGGAUUUUCCUUCUUUGAAAUUUGUCUUUCUGGAAGGAUUUUGUUAGCAUACUGAAUACACCUGUUUCCUGGCAUGUGCUGCAGGCUGAGUUGGUAGACUGCAUUAGAGAAAGGAAAGAGAAAAAGAAAUCCUAAAUGUCAUACUAAAGUUUGGAGGCUUAGAAAGCAGGAGACAGACCAUUAUGGAGUCACACACUAUAAAAAUCCUUACCUGUUACUCAGAAAUAUGCAGAAAAUAAAUGCAAGACAGCUACUCUUUAUAAUACGUAUACAUUUGUCCUGUGAAGCAGCAUAACAGCUACAGGCCCAACUUAUUCUCAUAAGGCAGACUAAUAUCCAAAUUAAACUUUGUAUGGAAAGAAACAAUAAAACAGGCAAAUAAAUACCACUAGAAGAAAGACAGCACUGCAAUUAGUGGUGCUUCUGCUCACGUGGGAAUGUGGGCAUACGUGGAAGGAGUUGUUUGCUAUUUUUUUUUACAGCUUUACCCGUUCAGCCAUUUCAAAACUCCCAUAAAAUUACGGUGCCAGCCUCAGUCAUAUCUCCAUGUAAGCCUUUGUUACAAAUCCAUAGGAGCUCUAUGCUAUUUAAGUUUCCUUAACAAUAUGUUUAACUUAGGUAAAUCCAUUCUUGACUUCCAAAUUAAACUGAAUAGUGAGGCGUGCAGGAGUUUCAACUUUGACUACAGCUUCUUUAAAGCUUGCAGUGCAGUGCCUGACGUUAAUUCUCCAGUGGGUCCCUGAACUUAAGAAAAGGAAAUGAACACAUCUCAGAGAAGGGGUAAAAGUCAGAGCCGAGGCAACUACUUCAGGUAAUAUUACACAGGGGGAAAAAAAAUCCUGUUGAAGGUGGUUAUCAUGUUUCCUGUGCUUUUCUUUAAGUGUAGCCAAGUGAAGUAACCGCUCUUUUAAACAAUUAUCCGAACAAACAAAAGAACAAUAGAUUAGGCCUUGUAAAGAUCAUUUAGCCUUUCCCUGGCACAUAAAAUACAGAUGUCAAAUAUCAUCAAGACAUUUUAUUCUGUUAUUUUAUUUUUGUUUUUGAGAUACUCUGCUUUUCAAGACUGGGCACUUCUCCAAAAUCCACACUCAAGCCUGUGGCUUGAAUAAUUUUGUGAAUUGCUACAGCCCAUUUUAUUCAUAAGGUUAGAGCAGAUGAUUAUAGUCAUCUCUUCUGAUCUUAAAAUGUAAAAAAAAUUCUAUACUAGCCAAAAAAAUUAUGAUGUCUCAAGUGGUAGAAUUUUUUAAAAUAAAAAUUCUCAGCAGUCUGUAAUUUUCCUAACAUGUCACUGACAGUCAAAACCUAAUGGAAGUUCCCUCUUUCUCUUCUUAAAGAACACCUCCUCUAAUAAUGUAUUUUGUAUCAAGGCAGACGUAUUUUCCCUCAGGACAGAGAGUUUCCAGCUGGGGUGCGAUGAGUCACACAGCUUUUCUUUCUUUUGUAUAAUUCAAUUAUUUUAGGAGACUUUUUUCUUCAGUUGGGUGAGUUUUUGACAUAUUUUCACUUCUAUCUUCAAGAUGUAAGCAAUCACACUUAAAAAUUCAAAUCACUUCAUUUGUUGGUUGUUAUUUUUAUAAUUCAGUGCCCCUUUUUAUUUGCCAUUAUUCAACACUCUACCACUUAUGAGAGCACUUCUUAUAAACUUUUCCUUGUUUCUGUCCAUGGAUCUUUGCACGUCUAACAUAACCAAUACUUCUUAAGUUGGUAUUUUAAACCACUAAAAACGCAGAAGGUAACAAACAUGAAUUGCAUAUUGUCUGGUACAAAAAAAAACCUUCUGGAGUGAUGUAAUGAUCUAAGGGAACAUAAUCUUGGUGAUUCUAUGAUUCUACGGUCAUGGAACAAAAUGGCGUACAAUGGAGAGUUAACAUUCUGGAUUCUAAAAAAGCAGUUUAAAAAAAAUCUCAUUCUUCUUAAAACAUACCAUGAGGGGAAAACAGACAAACAAACAGCAACACCACACCUGUACGUGUAGUAAAAUAAGAAAAGAUUUAAUUCUGGAUAAUCUAAAUCCUCAUUUUGCAGCUAAAUGGUUUAAUUACAAAACAGUUCUUCCAUGACACACCUUUGUGAAAUGAGGUAAUUUGGCUAAAAUAUUGGUGGAGCUGAAAAAACUAAGAAGAGAAGGCUGCUUCCACAAAGAAAAAGGACAGUUAUGUACAUACAUACGUACAGAAAAGCCAAAGCCAUGCGAAAAACAGUCUGCCUGAUACCCGCCAGAAUACAAGCUGAUUAUUUUCUUGCAUUUCUUUUCUAGGGAAAAUUGAAACAUUUUGAAAUUUUAUUUCAUUUUGGGACAUAAUUCCUUCCAAUUGGGCCACAAAUUUCAAAGCUUCCUUCAGCGUGGAAACUAAAGAAAUCCAUAUUAAGUAAUAAUAAAACAAGUUUUGAAAUCAACACAGUAUAAUUAAAGUGGAAACAUUACAUUUUGAACCUACUGAUGUCAAAAUACUAAAUCCUUUUUUAUGUUUGUCAAAAUCCGUGCAUUACAGUAAAACCUUGAUGGGUGGAUAUAUAAUUAUUCAGUAUAAAUGGAUACAGGCGAUAUAUUUGCAGAUGUAAUUGAAAGCUACACAAUUUUUAAACGGAUUUACUUGGAAGGUGAUGUUUACAGAUCACACACUAGAUCUUCUGAAGAAUCAUAUUUUAAGAGGGAAAUGUUGUGACUAAAACUACCAUUUUAAGCAUUGCACAGGAGAAACCAAGGUGCCGGGGAUCAAGCUUUGGCAGUACAAACUUACCCUUCCCACUAUCUAGAUCACCAGUUUGGGAAUUUGGAAGCAAGUGGACGUAUCUGUUCUUGUAUUAUCUCUCUAGAUAAACUGGGAAGGAUUAAAAAAGAGCGAAGAAACAAACUCUAAUAAUAAAACAUCACUGAGCCACUCACUAGGACAAGGGAACUCAUGGGUCCAAGCAGCUGAGCUAGCAAUAAUGAGUUUUAAUUUGCAACUAACGUACAGCUGCAAGGGAGACACAAAGAAAUUGUGUCUGGACAGUUUUCUCCAAUUGACAAUAGUAAUGAUGCUCCCAUAAUUGCCAGCACAUUUCCUGGACUAGCACUGUAGUUUACAUGCUGUCAUUUCUAUAGUUUUGUGCCUUAAAGUGUAAGUUUUGUAAAGUAAAACUUCAUUCUGCCACAGAAGUACAUGGCUGUAAAUUAGGAAGCCACCAACAAGCAAUCAGAGCUGAUCGUGCUACAGCCUUUGUAACUUACCUUGCAACAUCAUUUGUGCAGAAGCUAGAUUUCUAUUCUUCUUCUGUCUGUUUAGGAGCUACAAUAAACAAGUACGCAAUGAAAAAAAUACUGUCUCAAUUUCUGAUGGCUUUUCCUCCUGUACAAUAUAAAAUAUUUCCCGAUUUGUUCUGAGAUAUUUGAGACUUUAAGUCUCACAGGUCUGUCAGCUGUUACACCUGUUUGCUGCAGGUUUACCUAGUGCUGCAGAGCUGUUUCAUCCUUAGGACAAACUUUAAAAUUGUUCUUUAUUUGGCAUGGCGGGUUCAGUGAGUUGGACCAGAUGAUCAUCUGUUGAUUGGCCAGCAGAUAUAUCUCAUAGUAUCCAAGAAUGGGAAAGAAAUAGAACCCCUUAGCACAAGACUUCAUCAAAAGCCUUUUAUAAAUACAUGUAUAGCAGCUAGCUCAUCCACUUCCUUACAGACCUCCUCAAAGAUUAUGGUUUAUAUUCCAGUCAGUAAUAGCAGGAACUGUUUUCAUUCAGAAUUUCAUUUCACUUCUAGUGAACGUAAUGAGACAACUGUUAAUGGAUCACAACCAGCCUAACUGUAAGUGGAAACAUAGAAUCAUAGAAUGGCCUGGGUUGGAAGGGACCUCAAGGAUCAUCAAGUUCCAGCCUCCCUUGUGCCCAUAUCAGUCAAGACAAGACUGGGCUAUGGAUGUACCAUUUGCUUAUGGGUUUCUGCUGAAUCUGAUUUGCUCCCUAGGAAUCUGCAGGCAUGGUCGCAGGAUCUCUGAAACAGCUUGCUGUGGGAGAGAGUAACUACCGUUGAAAAGUAGAGUGCUCAAAGGGGCCUAAAGAGGGUCAGAAGCUCAGUAAGCCCUAAGUUCCUUAGAUUCCCUGGGCAUCUCAACCAGAUUAGUUAUGGAUAGGAUAGGCUAAACUGGGAUCACACUCUGCCAUAUGCAGGACUGGGAUAGUGCUGGAUUUAUUUCCCAUUCUUUUUUUUUCAGGUAGAGGCUGCAUCCUGCUUCUCAAAACAAGCACAACAGCAAGGGCAAUAAUGACCAAUCAAUCUGUUGUUAUUCAUUCCUUUGCCACAGUCCUCUCUGUAAACAUGGAGUCUGACAGAGAAGAAAAGGCUGAAAGAUGUGGAUGAAGCAGUGAAAGAAACAAAAUUAAGCAUUAAAAUGAAGAUUCAGUUCCAAUCUGCAGAAGCAGUUGCGCAAACUAAAGAAUGAAGAUGUGAGAAAUCUGAGAGAAAAUGCAGAAGCCUGAGUCAACAUUUAUUUGAACACAGUCUGCCUAAUGCUGAAGACAUAAAUCUCCACACACAGAGGUGGAGUGAGACCAACACUAGACCCUUCUGCAGCCACAUCCAAACAGAGAGCAUCAACUGUCACAGAAGCAACAUGAAAAUAAAUCUCUAUACACACUGCUUGGGGACGUAUCACAUCUCACAGUAUCACUUCCAAGCAAUAACAGGUAUUAUGCUAACUACUAUCUAAGGAUUAUUUCCUUUAUCUAUGGUUAAUUUCUUGAAUAAGCCCAUGUGCAUUAUAUGGGAAAUGAAAAAUGGGCCCCCUUUCCCCUAUACUCUCACUAUAACUAUUUAGAAAAAAACUUUCAACAUCCUCCAGUUGCCAGUCAUUUACGGUAAAUGAGAUUCAAAUUCCAGACUUUGGAAGGCAGCCAUUUAGGAUACACAUUUUUGCAAAGUAUUUUCCAGAAUGAAACCUCCAAUGAUUUGAAGGCACCUCAUAUUAAUCUAAAGCAACUUGUUAGUGCAAACCCUUCAGAACUAAUGAAAUGUCUGAUCAAAGGAAAAUACAAAAAAGCUGGAAUUUUUUUCAGUUGAGGACAAGGCUUUGUUUAGGGACAGAAGGAAUACCACAGCAAGGCCUGACUGUUACUCUCUAGCAAAAGAAAUAUCCUGAUAUACUCAUAUGAGCACGAAUAUUCACUUUAAACUGCUUAAAUCAGAUCUCACUUACUCAAUUCUACUCAGUCUUUAAGGAAAAUCUCAGCAAGUAUCACCAGGAUUUAUAACUAAGAGGAAAAAAAAAGAUUGAGCAUAUUGUUGGCUUUUCUACAUCCUAAUUCACUUAAAAAAUGGCUGAUAAACAGGUUGCCUACACUGUUAGACCUGUAGGUCUAUUGGAUUGGAUAGUUUAGCUGGUUGAUGGAUUAAAUUAUUGCCCUGCCAGCCAAGUUAAUUUUUCACUUAUUUUAUAGCUCAGUUAAUGUUUUUUGACUAUGCAAUGAAAAGCAGAAAAGUAGAUGUGGUUAAAUUUUAUGGGUGACUAAUAGUAGUGCCUUCAGUACUUUUAUUAUUUUAUACUCUUUAAAUUAUUUUAAACUUUUGGAAUAAUUUCUUCUUUGCAAUAAAUCCUUCUAGUUAUUAUUAAAAUAUUAAAGUUAUUGUCAUCACUUGUUUUAUCAGGAUGAGUACAUCAAGUGAUCCAAAUAUCUAAAGUGAUAACCAAAUGAAUUAACUGCAAUUUAAGUGAAACUUCAGAUUAUCAGUUCCUCACCUCUUAAUCACAGAAUAGUGAGACAUGCAGGCUAUCGUACCAGAUACAUAUUGAAUCAGUGACAGAAGGCCUGCAAAGGUGAGGUAGACAGGUACAUCUUCCUCAAAAUUUUGCUAACUGAUGGAUAGGCCAUUAUAAGAUCAUUCCAUUAUCACUAGGUAGCAAGUAAAGCUCAGCUCCAGGUUUGUUUAGUCUUUUUCUUUUUUUUCAAUCAUUAGAAAAGUUGCCUUCUUCUGAGGAGUGAUCUGCCCUUAAAUUAAACCAUGUUACUUGUAAAACACCAAAGACGUGUGAUCCUGUAAAGGCAAGUAUGAGAAAAUGGUGAUGGUAGAGAAAGCUGUGCUUCAGUCAUUAAGCAGAAUACUGAAAGCAUGCAAUAUUGACAGGAGCAGGAGGAAGAGAUGCAUUUCAUCAAUUAAGGGCCAAGCAACUAGUCUGAGUUUUGGACUGGCUCUCACUGAAUUUCCCUUUCCGACCUCACUUUCUUGUUCAUCUUACAGCAGGAACAGGCCCUGAUUCACGUAGCUCCAUGACUGCAGAGGGUUAGAUCCAACACCGUGGUAAUGUACAUGUGGAAAAGUUACAGAUGAGAGAGAUGAAACAAUUCUCACUUUUUUUAAUUAUUUUUUACCAUAAGGCAUUUGUGUCCAGUUCUCUAAUGGCAGGGAAGCAGAGUACAUGCAGCCAAAUCUCAAGGAUUCUGCAGCAUCCGCAGUAUGGUCUAUUGGAGACAAAGGGCCUGGAAACACAAAUGCUGAUUGCUUGUGAUUGCUGCACAUAUCCUUAUGAGCUCGAUUUCCAGUCUGGCUCAGUGUCUUCAAAGACCAACGAAAAUGUGGCAAACAAGGUUAAGGGCACUGAACUUCAGACCAAAAUCCCCACAUCCACAUCAUCUGAAAUAGAUGUUUUUCCAAGCUAAUAAAAUUUGCCCAUUCAUUUUGUUCAGGACUCAUCAGAAUGUUAGGGAACUUACAAAAUGAAGUAGAGGAAGAAGAAUAAAGGAAAGGAGAAUAGCACCUGUCUUUGCAGCUGGUCAGUAUGCAGCUCUCUAAUGUGCUGCCUGCUGGGAAGCAGAGAUGGGCUCAUGUUACCCUGACCCUUCAGCAAAGGAUGGAGUUUGCAGAAAGGAAUCCUGCAACUUGAAGAUGUGAGGCUUAGGCUUCAGCCAAAAAAAAUGGACACCAGCAUUAAAUGAAAAGUUCCAUAAGUUCAAAUGCAUUCAAUCACUGAACAAGACACAGCUUUGUGGUUUGAAAGAACGUAAAAAGAAUUUUAAAUCGUCAUUGCAGAGCUACCAGUUGUUUCUAGUUUUGAAGAACAAACACUAUUUUACCCUUAACUACUACCAAAUGCUUCCCAAAGUGACCGUAGUCACCUAUAAACACAUCAAAUAUCUUCAUUUAGGAACAACAGACCAAGGCUGAUAAGAGCUGAUAUGAAGCCUGAAAAAUUGCUUUAGUGGCUGAAGCAGAAUUUCAUCUUUCAUUGAGUAUAUCUUCCUUUGUAAGUGGCACCCAUUUUGCUUUAAGUCACGUUCUCAUAAGCUCAUUGACUACAAUUGAAAAGUCAUUGAAAAAGAGUAAUACCAAAAGGUUAGCAGAGAAAUUGAUGUAAUGGUAUUACAGUAGACAUUUAGAGAGUAUAAUGCUAAGAAUAGCAAAGAAAGGUUUCUACAGAAAGCAAUAAAAUUUUAAAAAGAAAGAAAAAAAAAGUUGAGCUGAAAAUCCUGUAACAGUGAAACUUGCAUAGUUCAGUCUCUGAAACAAAACAGUGAAACAGCCAGGACAGGGAUACAGAGUAUCUCAAAAACUAUCAAAACAAAACUAGACAAUAAAAACUCAAAUUAGAACACAAAAAGCCUUUUUCUUGGUCAUAUUUUUAAUAAUACUAAUUUCUAUAAGGAGUAAAGGGACGUAGAGGUGUAUGGUUCUCCACAAGGAGCAGAUAGAUAAUGACCCGCUGAAGACGACUUCCCAGAGAUGAGCAGGAGACUUGUCACAGAAUGUGGUUGAGAAGCGAACAGAUCAAAUAGCAAUCUCAGAGCUUCCAGAACACAUAACAAAGAAUUUAAGACAGAGUUAAAGAUCAGUGAUCUGCAACACACUUGUUGGAAGAUGUAGUUUCACGUGCUGGAGUUUGAAGGAUUAGUGAAUAUUCAAAGACAAUAUACAAAAUCAGUUAAUAGUAGGACAUUCAGGCGAAGAACAGGGUUCAUGUUAACAAGGCUAUUUGCUUCUUUGGAUUUCUUACUUUUUUUUGACAGAUAAUAAUGAACUUUUGGAGAACAAAAAAAAUUUAUGAACUGUAUUCCAGCUUUUUUUUUUUUUUUUAAGGUUCUUCUCUAGAGAUUCAAUAAUCUACCCUUCCUUUUAUCUCUAAUUUUAUGAUUCUAUUAAACAAAUGAUAAAUAAGAAAUUUCCUCUAGAUACACGGGGGGAAGAAAAUGACCAAAAUACUGGAAAAGGUUCCAGGUUUUCAGACAGUUGAAGCCUCCCUAAUUGGCUGGCAUGUUUUUCAGCACUUAUUACAGUGAAUGCUGCCAUCUGUUUCUUACUUCAAAAGAAAUAGUCAAAAUGAUAAGCAAGCUAGCAGAGAAGGAAGUCUUGUGCAUACAGAAUAUUUUAAAAAGCAUAGUAUUCUCUAGCUCCCCGUGGAUAGAAUAUCUUCAGUCUCAACGGAUAAUUACCAGUAGAAAAACUGUGACAGGCAAAUAUUCAACCAGCUUCCAUUUGUGAUAAUGGGGCAUGUACAGAUGAGAUCAUUUUGACUUCAGGUUUUCCAUUACUCACUUUAUGUUUUAAGUAUCCCAGUAAUUCCUUUGUAAUGAGCCAGGCUAUGCACUGUCCAUCCAUUAGAUCACAGGUUGUUGACUGAAGCAGUGCACUGAUACUGAGAAGUCUGCCAAUGUAAAACACUGUCCUUAACAUCACAAAGGGAAGUUUCAUAAAUAAAGAGAAAUAGAAUGAAAGUAUUUAUUCAACUUCAGAGCAAAGAAAAAGACACACAAUAGACAAUAUACACUCACUUCCAGCAGACAGCUUAUGUAUCAUGACCAAUGUCAUAAUCAUUUCUGACUUCACGACUAACCAAAUACACAUUACUGACUGUUUCUCACUAAACUUCAUAGUGAAAUGCCAAUAUUCUAACACUUCAGCAUUUAAUUCUACCAAAUGCUUCUUUACCUGAGGAUUGCAAAACUGCUGCUUGCAAAAUCAGUCAUGUCAAAGACCACAUGCCCACACAUUAGCAUCAUACAACCACUUGUAAACUUGGGUGCUUCCAGAAUAUUCUGUGAAUUUCAGACCAUUACAGGUGUAUCAUAAAGGCAAAAUCUUGUGCCAACCUGUGUAAGGAAAAUCAUAACCUGAAAUGUAUUGGAAAGAAACUAUGGCACCCAGGAUGUUCAAUAAAUCAUGGUAGCUACUAUAGUCAAGAAGUGAUAAUUGCAGGAGUAUAAAAUCAAAAUGUAGGAGACGAUUUCACUCACAUGAAGCCUGUUAAGCAUCUUCUCACUCUAGCAGUGCAGCAGACAGUUGUGAGAUUGACAGCUUUCACCUAUCCCAUUUUCUUUCUACCUGAUUUUAAGGAAUCCAAACCUAGAUUUGAAAUUAUUUCUAUUGGACUGAGGGAACAAAAAGGGAACAAAAUUAUUCGCAACAACACCAAUUUUGUAGCAUUCCAAUUUUUUUGUUGUACUUCACAACAGACCUUAUUAAUUCACUUUUAUGCUUUGCUUCUUUUUUUUUUUUUUUUUCAUGUCAAUGACCAUACGACAGCUUCUCCUGCUAUUAUAACUGCCCAAAUAACAGAAGCACUGAUUGACACUGGCCAGGACUGAGGCAUACCAAAUAGUACUUCCUUUCACUUUUCUCCACAGACCACCGUAUGGAAAGAUAGGCAAUAUUUGAAGGAAUGGGAGGCUCUCAUAGUUUGACUACAGGAUGGCUAGGCUCCAGAGGUACUCGUUCAGGGGUAAAUGCAACAAGUGGGAAGAAAAGGAACAGAACAACUUGGGGAAAAAUAACAAAGAAACAAAAGACCCAAGAGGUGACUAACAGGUCAUUCAUGAACAUUUAGUACCAGAGUGUUCAAACCACAAAAUGUAAAGAAAGGACUUACUAGCCUCAGACCAGAAAAAUAACUUGACAAAGACACAGCUUAGCUUACAAAUAGGACUGACGACUAUAGUUUGUUUUCCAUCCACUUUCUCAAAAAAAAAAAUUAGACUCCAACAGUAUGGGAAAAAGGGGAACGAUCACAAGCUCCUGGCUCUUGCUACCUUAAAAGAGAAACCUGAGAAAAUACAAAAACAGCAGCGCUCAAAUUGCACACACAAAGGAGGUAUCUGUGCUAUCACACUGGAGUAGUGCAUGGCGGCAGCCCAGGAUUCAGCACAGUUCUCAGGCAGGCAGACUUUUGCAAAUGCAGAUAAAUUCAGAGGAGAUAGUUGAACCUGCAAACAGGAUAUAAAAAAGCAUGGGAGUUCAAUCAUCUCCUCCUCUGAGAACUUCACUAACUACCAUAUAAUUUAGAUCUGUCAUAGGGAACUGUGAAACUGGAUGCCUAAUCUGAGUUCAUGAUUAACUACUUAUAAAAUGUACUUUAUAGAAAACAAGUAGUUCCUAAGCUAAAUAUAAAUAAAUAAAAAACAAUAUAGUUUUAAUGAGUAUAUUUUUUGCUCAUAAAAGUGUCAUCAUUCUCCUGGUAAGGGAAUACUUAGCAUCUCCUUUGAUUAAUAGACAAGCCUUAAGUCAUUUAGUGGAACAUAACUCACUUGUCACAAAUUCAUAUCUACAGUGAGACUAGAAUGGGUUUUGAUAAAGCAAUUGGAAAAUAAUCUAUUUAUGCUCAAUAAUAAAUUACUGUGCUGUAUUGCAUUUACAUUCAGUUGACAUGUACCACUGAAUGCUUUGCCCUCUGUAUGAGACCCACUGAAGAAAGUAGCUGGACAUAAACUCUACACUCUCUCAUGGAAGGCAAUAAAUAUCAUUUACAACACAUACAACAUGUGAUGUGUAUGAACAGUCAACUCAGUGCUGACAAAUACAUUUGCUGACAAAUUCAGCUCUUUUUCCAAUUACCAGCUGUUUCCAAACAGACUACUGUUGUGUUUUUUAUUGUAAUUGAAGAAUAGACAAUUGAAUCGUCUAAGCCAAAACCCCAAACUCUCUUCAGCUUCAUUUGGGUUAUGGGAAAGGGUUGUAGAUGAACAAAUUUUGCCCAAAGAAUUUGUAAAAUAUUUACUUGGACUGAUUCACCCUUGUUAAUUAUGUUGUGUUACUGGUCAUUCAAGUGAUAUAGAUUUUCUUCUUGUUGUUUCUAGACUGUGUGUAUGAAAUUUGUAAUCCUGGCAUUAACUUUACAACUCACUGAGGAAGGGAAGUGAAGAGGGGGUUGGUUCCCUGGGAACCAAGGACAGGAAAAAUAGGAAUGGCACAAAGCUGUGCCAGGUGCUGUUCACACUGGACAUCAGGAAAAUUUCUUUGCUACAAGGAGGUUUCCUAGUGAGGUGGUUGGCUCCCCAUGCCUGUCACUGUUCAAGAGGCAUUUGGACAAUGCCCUCAAUAGUAUACCUUAAUUUUUGAUUAGCCCUGGAGUAGUCAGGCAUCUAGACUCGAUGAUCUUUGAAGAUCCCUUCCAACUGAACUAUUCCACAUUUUAUGUUAAUAAUUUAAGAACAAGUAUUUUUUUAAACAUGAAUGAAUAACCAUAUUCACAUGGGAAUAAUAAAAAAAACCAAAACAACGAACCAUCAUCAUCCCAACGGUUAUGGAAGUACAAGUAUCCAUAAGUGGUUGAUACCAAAAGGUUCUAACAAGUCUGUGAUGUUCAGAAUCCAAGGUAGUGUUUACAAGUGCAGGUUCAGACUGCUCAAGAAGUCAUUGUAUAUAUCUUUAGUCUGAAGCAGGAAAUGUCCCAGAAGAGACUGCAGUGUAAGCUGAUGCAGUGAAUGUUAGAAUUACCAAUUCAUCUGUCCUUCCCAUGAAAAGAAAAGAAAUCAAACACUGAGAUUAAACAUACAAGUGUUUCAUUUUCCAGGAUCUGAAAUUGUAUUAUGUAUCUUUACGAGAAGCAGUAGUUCUCUUUAUAAUUCAAACCUACUAUACAGUCUGUUAUGGUUAACAAUAGUAGUAAAAUAACUGUUCCAAAAUACUGUAGAAGAAAUCUUUCAGAGAAUUCACCAUUUAAUAGUGAGAUUACGAUGCAUUUACUUCUGCAGAAUAACAUCCUCUUUUCCUAAUCCAACUGGUUUCUAGUAGAUUUGCUUGAGGACUCAUGGGACAUGCCAGCUACAGAAAGAGCUCAUAAUCUGAUCCUCAGUUUCUUCUAAAUGAUUUAAGAAACAUGGAUACUGCUUACCCCUCUCAUUUGAGCAUACCAGGAAGUUUCUCCUUGAUAUUUGGGCACUUUUUGAAAUAUUCCCCAUCUUUCCUGUUUAUAGAGUAUUUUUUCUGAGUCUUUCACCUACCAUACACUUAGUGUUAAGACUAAAUUUGCACACUCAACUGUCAUGGAACAAUAAGUAGUCUUUAAUGGCGUGCUGUACAGCUACAAUAUGUAUGCUGCAGAAUUACCCUCUACCAAAAGCUACAUCAUGUACAUAGGUAAUUUGGAGUGCCUUUAUUUCUUCCUCGAAAUUCCUCUUCCUGAAAUAUAUCUAAUACAGAUUAGGUAUUCUGAUUAUUUAAGUUGACUUGCAUUGAAAUCUCUUUUCAAGAAACAUAUCCUGCUAAGUACUUUAAUGACCUAGAAAUUCCUGAGUGAUUGGUUGAAGCUCUGAACAACCACAAGACACCUUGCGGCACAUCACAAAGGUACAUUAUCACUUGGAAAGCUGGCUAUUUCCAGGCUGUAACUACCUCCCACCUAAUAGUUCACCUAACAUGGCUCAAACAGCACACUGUUUGCAAGGUAAGUGAAAUUCAUCUUCCCCCCAUCUUUGUGUCUACAUGAAGAGAAGGCUCAGCUCACACAACCCUCAGAUAUACCCAGGCAAGGUACUCUCAGGCCUUGGGCUAUUUGAAAGAAAGCUUUGUAUACUCAUUUAGAAUGAAACUAGAUUGUGAGUGUUCCACAUUUUCAGAAGCAACAAAGUCACUGCCCUGACUAGCCCCUUCUUGCAAGAUUGGCACACAGGCAAACCAAAAGAUAGACUUGCACAGAUUUCCAAUGAGAUUUGUUUUCUAGGAGUUUUCCUCCUUACCCAAAUACCCAAGCUCCCUCUAAUCUGAGUUAAUAGGUGUAGCUGGUUACAAAAAUCUAAAGAAUACAAUGACAGUUGUAUACACAAAGAUCUACCUCAAUCACUCAUUGCAAUAAGCUAAAGAUGCUCUCUUGUGUUAUUACCUCAGAGAAAAGUCAUAGUGCAAAAAGAAUCCACCAAUUUUUUUUGUUAAAUUAUUAGGCAACAGUUCAGCAAUAGAGUUCGUGACAGAGUCAUUCAAGCAAAUUCAUCAUUACAACAGUGCUGUAUCCUCACAUGCCCUAUAAGAUUGGCACACUUUCUCAACACAAAAUUGCAGACACAAGCAUGUUUGAAAGAGCUCUCAAGACUCUAGAAGCAGGAAAAAUUCAGAAAAUAAACUCCACACAACAGCUUGAGAAACAUCAACAAUUCUUACUGGUAUGAGUGCUCAGACAGAGCACGUGUUGUAUUUGUGUACAUGGAACAAGCAAAAGAUUGUUAAUAAAAUAUAUGUUGAGAAGAGCAUGUCACAUAUAGUUUGUUCUCUUAUCAGUUGCAAGCAAGGAAAACCCUUGUGACAAUGGAGCUUGUCCCAGCCAGGAUGAAUAUGGACAUUUACAGUUAUGAAGUAUGCCUUAAUCAGUUACACACUUGCUUUUGUAGGAUUUGUGUUGAGGAGAAUGCCAUACUUAACCAGCCUGGAUUUCUGACCAUAAGGGUUUGGGGGUUUCUUCUUCCAAGUGCAUACACAGCAUAGAGCUCUCUUUGACUUAACAUUUCCACUACAAUGCUCAAAGAAUAUUCAGUGGAAAAAAAAAAUCUUUAAGUCUUAUUUUUCAGGUACAUCUAUUCAAAUGCAUUAUUAUAGAACGAAACUAUUUUGUAAAACAGAAAGGAAUGAGAAAUAGAAGUCAUUUGCAUAAUUCUGAUUUACCUGUGAUGGUGAUCCUCUUCAUCAGUUUUCAUAUUUUUCUCAUCAACCUCUUUCUUCCAUUCACACUAUUACUACCUAAUUUUAAAUCUU